GAUAUGUAGUAUGUGUUAGUUUGUUGACUCCUUUGAACCUAACGUAACCUGAUCCGUGGCUCUGGCUCUGGCUCUGGCUCUGGCUCUGGCUCUGCCCUUUUUGGUUUUCUCUCGUUACCGAAACCAGAAGAACCAUUUGUGGUGGACAUGGAUCUGGACCAGUGGAUCUCCAAGGUCAAAGAUGGCCAGCAUCUUCUUGAAGACGAGCUUCAACUUCUCUGCGAAUUUGUAAAAGAGAUCCUUAUUGAGGAGUCCAAUGUGCAGCCUGUCAAUAGUCCAGUGACUGUUUGUGGUGAUAUUCAUGGUCAAUUCCAUGAUCUAAUGAAACUUUUCCAGACUGGGGGUCAUGUGCCUGAGACAAAUUAUAUUUUUAUGGGAGACUUCGUUGAUCGAGGUUACAAUAGUCUUGAAGUUUUCACCAUCCUUUUACUUCUUAAAGCUAGAUACCCAGCCAAUAUUACCCUUUUACGUGGAAAUCAUGAAAGCAGGCAAUUAACUCAGGUCUAUGGAUUUUAUGAUGAAUGCCAGAGGAAGUAUGGCAAUGCCAAUGCUUGGCGCUAUUGUACAGAUGUGUUUGACUAUCUAACACUUUCUGCAAUUAUUGAUGGAACUGUGCUUUGUGUUCAUGGUGGCCUUUCUCCUGACAUUCGAACAAUUGAUCAGGUCCUCUAGCCUCCUUCUUAAUUGUUGACCAAAAACAAUAUUUCUAUAGCUUAGACUAUCUCCUCGCACGUGUAUUUUGUUCAGAUAAGGGUCAUUGAUCGAAACUGUGAAAUUCCUCAUGAGGGUCCUUUCUGUGAUCUUAUGUGGAGUGAUCCUGAAGAUAUUGAAACAUGGGCAGUCAGUCCCCGAGGAGCAGGUUGGCUUUUUGGAUCCAGGGUCACUUCGGAGUUCAAUCACAUAAAUAACCUUGAUCUUGUUUGUCGAGCGCACCAACUCGUUCAGGAAGGCCUUAAGUAUAUGUUCCAAGAUAAAGGCCUUGUAACUGUAUGGUCUGCACCUAAUUACUGUUACCGAUGUGGAAAUGUAGCUUCUAUUCUGAGUUUCAAUGAAAAUAUGGAAAGAGAAGUUAAAUUUUUCACCGAAACAGAGGAGAACAAUCAGAUGAGAGGACCCAGGACAGGCGUUCCAUAUUUCUUAUAAGUUGGUGCAAAUUUUUGUUUGAAUUUAUUGUAAAAUUAUAGCAAUACAGUCAUGUAUUUAUGCUUUGCCUUUUAAAGGUGGAUUUUAUGGUCACAAGAUUAUCAAUCCAACGAUAUCUUAGCACUGGGUCGCACGGAUAAUUUUAUAUUUAAAUUUUAUUGAAAAAGAUUUUUUUGUGCUGAA